CCUGAUGCAGCGACGCCGCGUGAGGGAUGACGGCCUUCGGGUUGUAAACCUCUUUCAGCAGGGACGAAGCGCAAGUGACGGUACCUGCAGAAGAAGCACCGGCCAACUACGUGCCAGCAGCCGCGGUAAUACGUAGGGUGCGAGCGUUGUCCGGAAUUACUGGGCGUAAAGAGUUCGUAGGCGGUUUGUCGCGUCGUCUGUGAAAACCCACCGCUCAACGGUGGGCCUGCAGGCGAUACGGGCAGACUUGAGUACUGCAGGGGAGACUGGAAUUCCUGGUGUAGCGGUGAAAUGCGCAGAUAUCAGGAGGAACACCGGUGGCGAAGGCGGGUCUCUGGGCAGUAACUGACGCUGAGGAACGAAAGCGUGGGUAGCAAACAGGAUUAGAUACCCUGGUAGUCCCACGCCGUAAACGGUGGGCGCUAGGUGUGGGUUCCUUCCACGGGGAUCUGUGCCGUAGCUCACGCAUUAAGCGCCCCGCCUGGGGAGUACGGCCGCAAGGCUAAAACUCACAGGAAUUGACGGGGGGCCCGCACAAGCGGCGGAGCAUGUGGAUUAAUUCGAUGCAACGCGGAGAAACCUUACCUGGGUUUGACAUGUACUGGAAAAGCCGUAGAGAUACGCCCCCCCUUGUGG
rnacentral:rRNA from 1 species